GCUGGGUGUGGUGGCGCACGCCUGUAAUCCAAGUGACUCCAGAGGCUGAGGCAGGAGGAUCACAAGUUCAAAGCCAGUCUCAG
rnacentral:sRNA from 1 species